CAGACCAGCUGGCAAGGCAUAGCAUAGCGUGACAUCUACCAGUAGGGUCCUCAUUCACCAGACAUUUGUCAUUUACACUAGAGGGGUGAAUUUCAGAAAUAUUUUAGGGGAAAAUGUGAGCUCUGGGAUAAAAGAGGCAGAAGCCAAGAUAGGCUGGGAAAGGGUUUGAGAGUCUGCAUUUCUGACAUGCUCCUAUGUUGGAAGGUCACGCUAUGAAUAACCAGGCCCUAGAGAACAUCUGAUGUGAUUUGGCUGGGGAAUAGUGGUAGAGAAGAGCUGGAAAAGUAGGCAGAGGCCAGGUUCCAGGCCGAGGAGUUUGAACUGUAUUUGGCAGGCAACACACCACCUCUGAAGGUAUUUGGGUCAUGAAGUGAGCCAGCCCUGACUUAGGAAAAUUAGCUAGAAAUCACUCAGAGGAAAGGCUGGAGCAAGAGCGACUAGAAACACAGUGAUGUGUCAUCCACCCACCCACCUAGCCAUCUGCCUACCCAUCAUACACAUUUGCUAGAUACAUAUUCCAGGAAAAAUGAUGAAGGGAAGCCAGUCUUCCGCCAGAGGGAUCCCAAGCCUGAGCCCAUAUUAUGUCUACAGGGUUGCAUAGUGGUGUGGACAACUAGCACACCUAAGGGCAUGAGGCUCCCUGCAGGAGGGGACCCUUGAGACCUGUCAGAGAACAGUGAGAGUUGUUAGGGUGAGAAGGGUCCAGUUAGAGGGAGCUACUUGAGCUAAGGGUGGAGGCAGAGAAGGCCAGAGAGGUGUACUAGUCAGGGUGCCGGCUCACAAACAAGAGAGCUGGUUCUGAUUACAUCAGUGUAUCGGUAGCCCCUAGAAUUGACCCAGAGCUUGGAGAACCAGCUUAGGCAGGAGCCCAAGGUCCUGCCCUGUUCCCUUCUCACUGAGGAAUAUCUCCAAGAGGGCAGGAUGUGGCCAGCCAAGAUGAUAAUGUCCACCAUCAGCAGCAGUCAUAACUACUAGAAUCUGGCACACUUGGCACACAGCCCUGUGUGAGGUGCUUCACACAGAUCGUCACCUGGCCUCCUCCCUGUAAUACUAGAAGAAGGACCUCCGCAGUAAGGCUGGGGAAGCUACGGCUUAAGGAGGAUCAGAAACUUGCCCAGGGUCACCCAGCUGCCAAGUGCUGGAGGUGCAGUUGAAGCUGAGUCUGUUGAACUUGCAGACCCAGAAGAGUGAGCUGGAAGCGGGGUGGGGCAGGGCCGGGCCCGCAGGAGUGCGAGGACUGGGGAGACACAGUAGCAGUGUGAUCUCCAGGGUCUCUGAUAGCCACUGCCUCCACCAGAGAGGGAAAGACAAGAGUGCUUGGUGGGAAGGACUGUGGCCUGCGGCUGACGGAGAAGCAGGACGGCCAAGAGCAGCACUGGACCAGUUACCGGAGGAGCAGAUUUUUAUAAAGCAAGGCUUCCUGCCACAUACCCACCUCCCUUAUGUUUUCACCAGGAGAUGAAGAUGAGCCGGCAUACAACCUCUGCUGCUGCCAUGCUGAUAGACUCUUAGCCCCUGAGCUGUGAACUAAAAUAAACUUCUUUCCUUGUAA